rnacentral:misc_RNA from 1 species
GCCCCAACUCCAGAAGAACCGAUGUGGCACAUUCCUUGUUCUUGGGAGUCCCACUUCUUAUGAUUUCAACAAGAGUUCUUAUGAAAGCAAGUCUUCCAAUUUCAUUCCUUCCUUCAGGAUGUGAUGCAAGGAGUAACAAGAUCGAGAGAGCUUCAUCGAUCAUGCCUAGGUUUUUAUCCUCGAGCAAACGAAGCAAUGGUGGUACGAUACCAGCCUUAAUAGCCCUGAACUUGUUAGUUUGGUUCAAUGAUAAGUUGAAGAGUGCAGUUGCAGCAUCCUUUCUACCUCUGAUUGUCCCAUUUUGCAAAAGAUUUACCAAGGG